AGCCUUCUGUAUUCGUGCUGAGAUUUCGUCACACUCUAGACCACAAGGGCUGAUGAGACUUUCAAGAUAAGUGAAGCG
rfam:Schistosoma margrebowiei strain Zambia genome assembly, scaffold: SMRZ_scaffold0002248